rnacentral:rRNA from 1 species
UGCGAAACUCGAAUGAACGAACGGGGAGAUUCAUCGUUACUCCGCGGCGUGGUGGCGCGCUCUCGAUGCUCACGGCACUCGUGCCGUGCGGUACGGGGCGUGUCGUUCGACGUCCGCGGACGGCGUGCACUUCUCCCUUAGUAAUACAUCGCGACCCGUUCGAUGUCGGCCUAAGCUCCGUUCGGGAGUCUCUCUUGCACCCCUCGGGGUGCAGGGGCGACCGUGACGGUUGCCGGCCGGCUGUCGGACGGUAUUAGAACGGAUCGCGUACGCGUUUAUGCGCGUCCGGCCCGACGCAAGGCCAACCGUCGUCCAUCUCCGUCCUGCCCGAGCGCGGGCGGGGGUGCGGCGGGCCUGUCGUCGCAGCCGUGCUGUCUCGGACUGUGCGCGUCCCGUGUCUGC